GACUUGAGACUCCCCCAUCAGAACUCUACCAUCUACGCCCUUGAUGCAUCUAACUUGGUCAAGAUCGCGCGCCUUCCUUUCCCUUGCUUUAGCUAACCGGAGUAACUUCUUGUCCCCGCCUUUCUCCCCUAGUUCCUCGAACAUGCGACCAAGCGCCGCGUUUUUAGCUUCCGUAACUGCCAGCUUUGCUUCUUUCCUCGCCACCUUGUA
rnacentral:lncRNA from 1 species